UGGCGGAAGAGAUUUGCGAUUGUUAACCGUCGUCUGCUCGUUCAUAAUAUUCAAAGAUACUUUCGAAGGAUAAUUAGCGAAUUAAUCGAGCAGGUACAAAGAUUCAUUUUCGAGUGGAGACAUUUCAAGUACGAGUGAAGAAAUAGUGGUAAAGUGCUUCCAAGACUUGAAGUAGAUCAACAUGAGUACCACUAGCUGGAAUGGCAGAUGGUUCCACUUGAGAAAAGUCUUGGAGCGAGGUGGACCAUUGGCUCAUCCAGACUUUCAGGCCUCAAAUGAAACACUUGAUUUUCUGUUGGAAACUUGCAAGAUUCUCGUUGUAGGGGCUGGUGGCUUGGGCUGUGAAUUGCUCAAGAAUUUAGCUUUA